CUGCUGGUCAAGUGGGCAGGGGAGACAGACAGUAAACAAAGGCAGAAACCUCAGAGAAGGAUGCUCUCGACUCUGCUUCGAUCUGAUGCUUUAUUCUGAGUCAUGGUAGAAAUUCAGUGAAGGAGGGAUUAGUGUUUUUUUUUUUUUCCCUGUGAGGACCAGAUAAGCAGAACAAAGGUGCAAUUGGAUGACACCUGCUCCAAGCAAGAAGUAAGGUUUUUGAGCUUCACCUCCAAUGAGAACAUUUCCUGAGUUCCUUGAAAGGCUGGAGAUGACAUUCUAUUGGUCAAUGGGUUUUCACAAGAUUCAGACAAUCUGCCAAGGAAGCUGUGAGUUAUAUUCAGAGUGGUUCACAGAACACAUAUAGUUUUGUACCUUCAGACACCAGGUUCUAGUGCUUUUUUUUUCUUUUUUUACUUGCACCUGCUUACCUGAUACCAAGUCUGCAUCUGAGUGAACUCAAACUGAGAUGGCUAUUGUGCUGAAUCCUCAUGGAAGACCAGCAUCCACUUCCAGGAAGAUAACCUGGAGCCAACAGAAGGGGGUGAAAAAUCAAGGUCCAGGAUGGUUAAGUCAUUUACAGAGCUGAUGAAUGCUGUAUAUCUGAGUGUGAGAGAAAGAAAGAGAACUUGGAGUCAGUUUAACUUCCCUGGCCCUUUCAUUUUUACAGAUCACAUGAUUUUGUACGUUACUUCUGAAUUAAAACAUUCUCAUCUCUUCUGCCAAGGUAGAGAUUCCUGUCUCCUUGGCCAAGUGCUUUCUUCAGACUCAUCCUGGCCCAAAGAACCAGUGCGGAUACUUUGCUGUAUAGAUCCUGCCAAGGCAGGGCCUUUGGGGCAGGGCCUCUGACCAUCUUGGUGGAGAAGAUCAUCAAUCAAAGAACACUGUUUCUGUUGUCACUCACAUUGACUGUCCUGUUAUCUCCCUGAGAAUUUUGUUUCACAAUCACGGGACUCCAGUUUCUAUUGAAUACAGUUGGGCUGUGGGUCGGUAAGAGACUCUGACCUCUCCUUGUCUGUGAGAGGCUCUAAACUCUGUCAGCACUCAAUAAAGGCAGAAUAUCUAC
ensembl:lncRNA